rnacentral:rRNA from 1 species
AUUGAACGCUGGCGGCAUGCCUUACACAUGCAAGUCGAACGGCAGCACGGGUGCUUGCACCUGGUGGCGAGUGGCGAACGGGUGAGUAAUACAUCGGAACAUGUCCUGUAGUGGGGGAUAGCCCGGCGAAAGCCGGAUUAAUACCGCAUACGAUCUACGGAUGAAAGCGGGGGCCCUUCGGGCCUCGCGCUAUAGGGUUGGCCGAUGGCGGAUUAGCUAGUUGGUGGGGUAAAGGCCUACCAAGGCGACGACAAGUAGCUGGUCUGAGAGGACGACCAGCCACACUGGGACUGAGACACGGCCCAGACUCCUACGGGAGGCAGCAGUGGGGAAUUUUGGACAAUGGGCGAAAGCCUGAUCCAGCAAUGCCGCGUGUGUGAAGAAGGCCUUCGGGUUGUAAAGCACUUUUGUCCGGAAAGAAAUACUUGGCCCUAAUACGGUCGGGGGAUGACGGUACCGGAAGAAUAAGCACCGGCUAACUACGUG